CCAGACUCCUACGGGAGGCAGCAGUGGGGAAUAUUGGGCAAUGGGCGCAAGCCUGACCCAGCAACGCCGCGUGAAGGAAGAAGGCUUUCGGGUUGUAAACUUCUUUUCUGAGGGACGAAGCAAGUGACGGUACCUUAGGAAUAAGCCACGGCUAACUACGUGCCAGCAGCCGCGGUAAUACGUAGGUGGCAAGCGUUAUCCGGAUUUACUGGGUGUAAAGGGCGUGUAGGCGGGAAAGCAAGUCAGAUGUGAAAACCACGGGCUCAACCUGUGGCCUGCAUUUGAAACUGUUUUUCUUGAGUACUGGAGAGGCAGACGGAAUUCCUAGUGUAGCGGUGAAAUGCGUAGAUAUACGGAGGAACACCAGUGGCGAAGGCGGCCUGCUGGACAUUAACUGACGCUGAGGCGCGAAAGCGUGGGGAGCAAACAGGAUUAGAUACCCCAGUACA
rnacentral:rRNA from 1 species